rnacentral:tRNA from 1 species
GGGAUUGUAGUAUAGCCUGGUUAGUAUCGGUGCUUAGGGAGCAUCAGACCCCGGUUCAAAUCCGGGCAGUCCCA